rnacentral:lncRNA from 1 species
CACGUUUAUACGCGCCUGGCCUAUUUGCAAAAUCUUAGUACAGUCUAAGUGCACUAUGUAGUCAAAGCUCGCAUCUAAUCCAUUCAAAGGGGAGCAGACUUUAAAAAAAGGGGGCAUUAGAGACGUGGGGAAGCACUCCAGAUUAGGAGCGAUCCAGUCAACCAACUACUCUCUCUCCCUCACUUUCUCUGCUGCUACUCUGUCUGUCUCUACUGUCACAAUAGCUCACACGAUGUGAUCUCCAAAACUCCAAGGUCAUCUGUUCUUCACAUGUGGUGACUCUCCAACGCCGUCUCUCUCUUCCAGCGAACACAAAUCUUAGCGGGGACUGACCUCACCGCCUGUGGUCAGCCCGCCGCCCACGUCACACAUGGCCGCAGUCCAGCGACUCGGCUUUGUCCACGACCCACUCGACCCCCUUCCUGACGACGACCUGAGCUGCGGAAAGAGGCCGUGGGCCGACGGCCGUGGCGACGACGGGGACGUGGAUUAACCUCUCCUUGGCCAGUAAUGGUGGCAGCCUUGGUACACAGCCAUGGAGCAGUAGUGACGGUGGGCAGCAGGCAGCCAGUUCCUGUGCGGAGCCGCGCGAGACGCGAAGAGGCCGCGGGCGCCACCAUCAGGGAGAGAAGAGAAUAGGGAUUUGGGGAUUGGUAGGUGACCGUGGUGGGAGAGAAAGAUGGCAGCACGAGCGUGGGAGAGAAGGGACAAGGGAGAGAGAGAGAGAUCGGAGACGAGGGGAGGAAUCAGACGGCAGAGAAUAGCGCCGCUGGUUAAGUCAUGUAUGGGCACGUGCCCCACUUAGAAAUCCCGUUAAUUGUUUUGUGGAUCAGAAGUUCGCUGUCAAAAAUUCACAAAUGGUUUUAAUUUGCUAAAAUAAAUUUGUAUGGAUAUUAUGAUUAGACUUGUGAACUCAAUCUGCAAUGGCCUUC